CGAGCCGCUGGCGGCGUGCCUAAUACAUGCAAGUCGAGCGGACAGAAGGGAGCUUGCUCCCGGAUGUUAGCGGCGGACGGGUGAGUAACACGUGGGUAACCUGCCUGUAAGACUGGGAUAACUCCGGGAAACCGGAGCUAAUACCGGAUAGUUCCUUGAACCGCAUGGUUCAAGGAUGAAAGACGGUUUCGGCUGUCACUUACAGAUGGACCCGCGGCGCAUUAGCUAGUUGGUGAGGUAACGGCUCACCAAGGCGACGAUGCGUAGCCGACCUGAGAGGGUGAUCGGCCACACUGGGACUGAGACACGGCCCAGACUCCUACGGGAGGCAGCAGUAGGGAAUCUUCCGCAAUGGACGAAAGUCUGACGGAGCAACGCCGCGUGAGUGAUGAAGGUUUUCGGAUCGUAAAGCUCUGUUGUUAGGGAAGAACAAGUGCAAGAGUAACUGCUUGCACCUUGACGGUACCUAACCAGAAAGCCACGGCUAACUACGUGCCAGCAGCCGCGGUAAUAA
rnacentral:rRNA from 1 species